UACAGAGGGUGCGAGCGUUAAUCGGAAUUACUGGGCGUAAAGCGCGCGUAGGCGGCUUUGCAAGUCGGAUAUGAAAUCCCCAGGCUUAACCUGGGAACUGCAUUCGAGACUGCAUUGCUAGAGUAUGGGAGAGGGAAGUGGAAUUUCCGGUGUAGCGGUGAAAUGCGUAGAUAUCGGAAGGAACAUCAGUGGCGAAAGCGACUUCCUGGACCAAUACUGACGCUCAUGUGCGAAAGCGUGGGGAGCAAACAGG
rnacentral:rRNA from 1 species